rnacentral:misc_RNA from 1 species
GGCUGGCAGAGACAUUUGCAGUCCUUACUUCGCCAGGUUGGGAAAAGGGUGGAGCACAAUUACACUGCUCUUGCAAACUUUUCCUCUUCUUCUCGUGUGGAAUCCUCAUUUUUAACUGGCGAAUUACCAUAUUUACAGAGAUUAUGGAAAUCACCUUCUGCCAAUGUACUGAGGCCUUUCCAUCAGUAUUUGCAGCAGUCGGGAAUCUCAAGUUCAAGGAAAUUACUAGCAGAUUCUUUUGAGGAAACACCCAUUCGAUCUCCACUGACUCCUGCUUUAACUCCACUAAGCAGUGGAAAAACUAAAGAACAGAA